ACUGGGUAAUAUCUUUUAAUAGGUCAUACAUAAGUUAUAAAAGUAAGUAUAAACACAGAUGAUUAUUUUAUUUGAAACCAAUGCAGUUAAAAACAAAUGUUUUUUUAACUAUAAUACAGAAAACUUCAUAGUUACUUUUGUCACCCUGACAGUUUUUCUGAAAUGUUAUUCAUGAGAAAUACAAUGUGGAAGUAAGGAAAUAAUUAUACAGAUUGAACAUUCUCCUGUUAUAUGGACAAUUUGAGAUUCUCAUAUAAACUAAUCUAAAAUAAAACACAUGAUUUUCUUAUAAAACUGAUGCAUAGUAAUGAGAAACGUUUUCUUGUUUUUGGCAGUAUCCUGUUAAAAAAAGGGAUUAUGAUGCUGACUUUAGCAAAUCCAAAUGCAAUGAAAGAAAAUACAGAAUAUUUUGGCCACUACAUACUGUAAAUUUAGAAAUUAUUGCGUGCAUUUAUUAUUGCGAUUUUGUCUUUUUAGACUUAAACGUGAUUUUUAUUUUUAUUGAAUAGCAAUAUAAUAUUUCCCACAGAAAGUAACCAAAAGUUAACGUGCAAUAAAUUCUAAUAUUGCACUAGUGCAAUAAAUCUCCAAUUCAUGACGUCA
rnacentral:lncRNA from 1 species